rnacentral:rRNA from 1 species
AAAAAAAGUACGAUUAGGUACUCUGUCUUAUUCUCAGUAAUCUCUUGAUUUACACAUGCAAGUCUCAGCACACCAGUGAGGACGCCCUUACCCCUUCUAUAGGACAGGGAGCUGAUCUCAAGCACUUGGGGAGGAGCAAAGUCUAUGGCGACCUCGGAGGAGGAGAGGGCUUACGAGGGGAGCUAGACUUUAGCGCGCGGGCUGCAGGAAAAGUACCACGAGCGGGGAAAAAAGACAGAAGGCCCGCCCACCAAGUGGAAGCGGGAAGGGUGAUUAUACCCUCAGUCGAUUGGACUAACGACAGAAACGAGAGAAGCAGGAGGGAGGCGUACCGAAGGGCGGCAAGUGGGAGGGGGGCCCACCGCUGCCUCGCGCAUUGACUCGCUGCACGAAGACGAAAGUCAUCCGGCAGUUGUGGCUAUACAACCCGUGGCAUAAAUACACAUUGACCAGACCCAGGGGACCAAGCACGAAAAAACGAGAGCACAACUGGUGUGCCACACUCAGUCUGGGAAAACUCGCCGCUAUGACCGGAAUCACCGAAGUAUCG